UACGGAGGGUGCAAGCGUUAUCCGGAUUCACUGGGUUUAAAGGGUGCGUAGGUGGGUUGGUAAGUCAGUGGUGAAAUCCCCGAGCUUAACUUGGGAGCUGCCAUUGAUACUAUCAGUCUUGAAUACCGUGGAGGUCAGUGGAAUAUGUCAUGUAGCGGUGAAAUGCUUAGAUAUGACAUAGAACACCAAUUGCGAAGGCAGCUGGCUACACGAAUAUUGACACUGAGGCACGAAAGCGUGGGGAGCAAACAGG
rnacentral:rRNA from 1 species